GUAGAUAAUCUUAUUAUUAUUUUUAUUUUACAGGUGAGAAAACUGACACACAGCCAGUGAUUUUAUGACUUACCUGAGGUUAUACGAAUACGCAGAAAGAAACUUCUGGAAGUAUUUGUUCUAAAAGUUGCAAGACUACACUAAAUCAGGAAAAGGUCUUGGCCACAGCUCACUGCUUCAGCGACUACCUCGAGGCCAGCUGGGGACCGACAGUCUCAGACACCGGCCAGUUGCCACAGAUGCAAUUGCUUUGAAAAGCAGGCUCCCGUCACCACUAACCUCAUGCAGAAGAAAUGAAAAUGGGAAACGUGGUGAUAUUUUAUUCAGUUUCCUCUGGCUCGUUCUAGGAAACAGAACCGAGGCAAAGGACGAUUGGAAUGAAAUGAGGUUUUCUUUUUAGCAAAUAAAUAUUCCAUAUGCAGAAGCA
rnacentral:lncRNA from 1 species